UACAGAGGAGCCAAGCGUUGUCCGGAUUGACUGGGCGUAAAGCGCACGCAGGCGGUUGCGCGCGUGGGGUGUGAAACCUGGCCGCUUAACGGCCAGGCGCCAUCCCAUACGGCGCGACUGGAGUGAUGCAGAGGUCGAUGGAAUUGCCGGUGUAGUGGUGAAAUGCGUAGAGAUCGGCAGGAACACCCAGGGGGAAACCAGUCGACUGGGCAUCUGCUGACGCUGAGGUGCGAGAGCGUGGGGAGCGAACCGG
rnacentral:rRNA from 1 species